rnacentral:tRNA from 1 species
GGAAAAAUAGAUUAAGAAGAUCGUUGGGUUCAUGCCCCAAAAGUGGAGGUUUCUAUACCUUUUUUUCUU